AAAAAGAAGUGAGGUCGACCAGAUGUAGAUAUAGCCAGUAAGGCUGCCCAGUGUUGAUGCUUCUGUAGCUCAUUCAUGGCCAUGGUUUUACUCCUUGAGGGACAUUUCAGCUACAAGUACAAAUACAGACACGAACAUGGUGUGAGCCUAAGGCAGGUUAUGAGUUCCACCUGGUCUUCUUCCUGAGCUGCUGGGAAGUAGAAAGGCACCAUCUUGUGGCCAGCAAAUAAGUGAGGACCCACAGAAGACCUCUCGUCUGAAAUGCACACUCUGCUCCUGCUUUUGUCUUGCUGCCUCAGAUAAAAAAUAUAUCUGGCAAGAAGAGAGGAGAAGCUUUCCACUUUCUGUUUUCGUAAGAUUUUAUUCACUGUGUAGUUAUUCAAACUAGAAAUGUGCUGAAGAAAGGGAGAGGUUUGUAAAUGCAUCUUCCAGAUGCUAGAGGGCGUAGAAGACACAGAAAGUCUCCGGAGUAGCCGUUGAAAAAGGUACGAGUGAGACAUUUAGAGCAACUUUCUGUUCUUGUAAAAGGAUGUUUACUGAUGUUCACACUGCUUCUGCUCUCUUUCUGAAGAGAACUGACCAAAAAGCAGAAGAAGCUUUCUGGAUUUUUA
rnacentral:lncRNA from 1 species